UAGGUCUUCGUCAAUUUAAUCUAUUAUAUAUGUAUAUAUCAAUUUCUACGUCUAUCUCUACGUAUUCAUCUCUUUUGAUUUGUCAAACGCCUCAAAAUUGGAGGCUUUACCAUUAUCCACAUACCUUUUGAAGUUAGAGUUCACACUGUGUAUCAUAUGGGGUGGUGGUGAUUGGAAGUGGCACAUGUUGAGUGCUACUUAUGUUAUCUAGUGACACAUGUCUAUAGGGCAUCUUGGGGUGAUGUGGGGGACCAUUAACAAUCUUUUAUGUUGGUAACGUUUCACAGAGGGAUUGGGUCAUGCUGGUUAUCAUUGGAAAGUUGGUUAUGAAGUAUAUAGAUAAUUGGAUAUGGUUUCACAUAAAGUGAAAGGUUCAAGAUCUUAUGCUUAAAACCCUAGAACCGACUAGAACGUUGUACACCUUUGUGUGUGUGUGUGUG
rnacentral:lncRNA from 1 species